CGUGGGCAACCUACCCCUCACACUGGGAGUAACCUCGGGAAACCGGGGACCUAAUACCAGAUACUCACGUCCUCAGGCAUCUGAGGACGUGGAAAGGAAUUCUGGUGAGGGAUGGGCCCGCGGCCUAUCAGCUAGUUGGUGGGGUAAUGGCCUACCAAGGCGACGACGGGUAGCCGGCCUGAGAGGGCGACCGGCCACACUGGGACUGAGACACGGCCCAGACUCCUACGGGAGGCUGCAGUGGGGAAUAUUGCGCAAUGGACGAAAGUCUGACGCAGCAACGCCGCGUGAGGGAUGAAG
rnacentral:rRNA from 1 species